rnacentral:misc_RNA from 1 species
CAGAAGGUUAACGCCUAUAAAUCAUUGCGAACCGUCCCACUUAGCUGCCUCGGCGGGCAAUCCCAGGGCGGGAUUCCGGGCCCCUUCGGGGGCGUCCGCCGGCGGUGCGCGUCUCUAGCUCUGUCUCUCAGCGGGCCUCUGAGUGAUUUAAGGAAACCAAUCA